GAUGAAAAUGCUAAGACUGCUUCAGCUCAAUCACGUGUGCCUUUCUGGGAGCUAUGAAUAUAUUUCUAGUAAGUUACGAUGGCUGUGUUGGCAUGGAUUUCCUUUGGACUCUAUACCAUUUGACCUUGUUCUGGAAAAUCUGAUUGCUCUUGAUAUGCGCUACAGUAACCUAAAAAAGUUUUCUGAGAAAGUAAAGACUUUAAGGCAACUGAAAUUCCUUAACCUUGGCCACUCGCAUGAACUUAUUGAGACUCCUGACUUUGAAGGCUGCCCCAAUCUUGCGAAGUUGAUGCUCAAAGAUUGCACUAAAUUGGAAAGGGUUCAUAAUUCCAUUAGACUUCUCAACAAUCUUGUUUUCUUGAAUAUGCAAGAUUGUAAGAGCCUUAAGAAUCUUCCAGAAAGUGUUGGUGAUCUAAGAUCACUUGAGAAGCUCAACAUGUCAGGCUGCUCAAAACUUG
rnacentral:misc_RNA from 1 species